AUUUCGUUUGAUUUGAUUUGUCCUCGUCCUCUGCACAUGAUGGUAACUUGGAUUUUGCUUGGGCAGGUGCCUUUCUCUCUUGAGGACCCGGAUUACAAGGGUCUUGAGCUAGAUCUGAUAGUGUUGUGCGAGAAGCAUGGGAAGCCAUCAGAGAGGCUUGUUGCGUUUGAAGGAACAAUGACUGGGAGAAGGUUCUUAGCAUGUGCAGAGCCGGAAGGUCAGAAUUGUGGGUUUGUUCAGUGGGUUGAUGAGCAGUGGCCCCCAACAAUGGAGAAUGCAUUGAUGAAGCUUUGGUCAAUGGUUGAAGAGAGCAAGUCUGCUAGGGUGAAUGAUAAUCUUCAAAGUGCUCUAACUAUUCAUCAGUUGACAGAAGAAAAGAACAAGCUGGAUCCAGCCUAUGACAAGUUAGUGAAAGAUGUGCAUCAACUUGUGGACUUUCAGCAGGAUAGGGUUGUGGAUUUCAGUUAUCUGCAGUCUGCUGUCACAUAUCAGCACCAAUGCAGAGCUGAAUUGGUGGCUGGUAUGAAUGCAGAAAUGGCAAAGAAAGAUGCAGCUGCCCAGAAGCUUCAACAAAAGUAUGAACUCCUGUGCAACCUGACAAGUGCUCAAGCAACUGUCAUCCAAAACUUGAAGUUGAAGAAUAUGAAAGAGAAGGAAUUGUUGAGUGAGGGUAGGAUGAAUUUGGAGUUGAAGAAUGCAGAGUUCACAAAGUUUGAGGAGAAGCUCACCCAAGAGAAGCUAGAGUUGAAGCUCCAGGUUGCUGAUCUGUUGAAGCUCAAGGAAAACCAUAAUGAAGAGAAGCAGAUGCAAGAGUUUAAGAUUACUGAGCUCAUCAAGGCAGAGGAGAAGCUGAAGGAGAAGAUCAAGGGGAUCCAGGCCAUCUUGCAGAACUGA
rnacentral:rRNA from 1 species